GGAGAAGGAAGCUGACCUGCGAUCGACGGAAGGUCACUAUGUCUCAUCUGAAACAAUACCGGACGUAAACUUGGGAAGUGAUGAUCCUUCAUCUCAAGGACACACAGACCAAAGUAGCAUAAACAAACCGGCAGAGAGCAUGUUGAGUCUGGUUGAAGAGUCAGCCAGUGAGCCGGCUGAAGAGAAUAUGAUGGUUAUGAGGAAAGAGACAUAGUCUGAAGUGCUUGUAACAGUUCCGAUUCAAGUUUGUCUACCACUGUCCCAAACAACCACUGUGGCAGAAAUUGAACAAACACUUGAGACAGAAAAUGAACCAACCCCUGUGCUACAAAUUGAAGGAACUACAAAAAGUACUCUUGAACCCUCCCCCCAACAACUUGAAGAAAGCACACCCACGCUUCCCCCAACUCCAUCUAAAAUUAAUCCAGCCCAAGAAGACGUUGCUGCGCUGAUGAUGAUGGCACGGACAACAUCGUAUGUUCCUAAAACAGAUCUGAUGCCAUCAUUCAGCCUUGACUUGACUGAUUCAAGCCAAGAAGAAGCAGCAACGCAGAAGGGAGCGUCAACGCAAGAUGGAGGGAUGGCAAAAACUCCAGAAAUCCCAAAACUACUAAAACAAUUAGGAGAUCUGGUACAAAAAAUUGCAAGUGGUGGGGUGACAACAAAAGAAAAAAGUCCACAGAUACUAAAGGAGAGUGGCACAAAGAGUUUCGAGAAGUUUGAAACUCCUGUGAGGACAAAUGAAGAUACUUCUGACAUGAAAGAGAAAUGCUACCUCUGGGCCAUACGAGUGAAGACAUACGCAGAUUGACUAACUAAUGAGUUUGACAAGGUCUGCACACUCCAAGCCCAAGAUAGAUACAUUUUGUCAAAACUCUACUUUGCAUCACUCGCAGCUAAAACGCAUAUAGAAGCUGAGAUUGUCUCUGCCAUGUGCUUCAUCCUAAACCAGCAAAAGAUUAAAAGGUUUCAAGAAGAAGUAUACUAUCUCCCCCCUGAUAUUGUGAACAUGGCCAUUGCAAAUCAUCCACAAUGGGUAUUCUUACGGCCUAAAACGAAUAAGCCAUUCAUGGUGGAAGACUACCCAAUGUUUAUACCCUUCUUGGACCUUAAAAAAUUAGCAUCGCAUCGUUAUAUAUUUGCACCUGUUUGCCAUUCACAACAUUGGUGGUUAUGGUUGGCUGAUAUAAGAAAGCAAAAAUUUUAUAUAGUCAACCCAUAUCACACAAAAUCUCCGUCCGAUGAGAGAACUGCCCUGAAUACAUUCAUUGGAUAUGUAAUUUCACGAAUUAGAGUAUAUGCUUGGGGGUGCCUCUGAAGACAAGGGACAAGGACAAGGAAAUUGUACCACCAUACCUUCACAUCUCAGGCCAAAAGACAAGCUAUGACUGUGCUAUCUACGUAAUGAAGUGGCUUGAGAUAUUUCAGCCCACAAACAUUAAAAGAAAAAAGUAUGAGUGGGACAAUUGGACCCAGGACGAGGUGGACCACUUUAGAGUAGAAUAUGCUUCCUGGAUUCUAUUCCAUGAAAUGAAUCAAGACAAAGCUGAAGCCAUUAAGGAAAGUAAUGCAAUAAGACUGUCCAAGCCAUCCUCAUUGUUAUUGAGUCCAUAUUGUCAGAUAGAUUCUAAGGAUAUUGACACUGAUUAAUGUAACUACUAUAUAGUCUUGUAACAAAUUGAACACAUGUUGUAAAAAUUUGCCAAUUAUGAGUAAAACUCU